rnacentral:rRNA from 1 species
CGCCCCUCGCACUAUAGUCAUAUGAGGGGUCCUGCCUGCCCAGUGACUAACGUUAAACGGCCGCGGUAUCUUGACCGUGCAAAGGUAGCAUAAUCACUUGUCUCCUAAAUAGAGACUGGUAUGAAUGGCAAGACGGAGCUAAACUGUCUCUUUUUUUAUUAUUGAAAUUUACCUUCGCGUGAAGAGGCGCGAAUAUAAUCGUUAGACGAGAAGACCCUGUCGAGCUUAAAGUAAAAAAUAGAACUAUUUUAAACACUUAAGAAUACUAAUAGUAUAACUUUAUAAUAACUAAGUUCUAACGUCUCUAUUUUAACUUUGGUUGGGGCAACCGCGGAAAAAGAAAACCUUCCGCUAACAAAUUAUUUUAUUUAAGGAAAACAAUCCUACUAUCCAAAAUGAAGACAUGAUCCACUUAGGUGAUCAAAGGAACAAGUUACCGCAGGGAUAACAGCGUUAUCUUUUUUGAGAGUUCACAUUGACGAAAAGGUUUGCGACCUCGAUGUUGGAUCGGGACAUCCUAAGGGUGCAGAAGCUCUUAAGGGUUGGUCUGUUCGACCAUUAAAGUCCUACGUGAUCUGAGUUCAGACCGGCGAAAGC